rnacentral:tRNA from 1 species
UGACGUGUAGCUUAGUUGGUAGAGCGCCUGAUUUUUAAUCAAGAGGUCGCCGGUUCGAGUCCGGCCACGUUAA